rnacentral:rRNA from 1 species
UGGGGAAUCUUGCGCAAUGGGCGAAAGCCUGACGCAGCAACGCCGCGUGAGCGAUGAAGGCCUUCGGGUCGUAAAGCUCUGUCUUCGGGGACGAACAAAAUGACGGUACCCGAGGAGGAAGCCCCGGCUAACUACGUGCCAGCAGCCGCGGUAAAACGUAGGAGGCUAGCGUUGUCCGGAAUUACUGGGCGUAAAGGGCGUGUAGGCGGCCCGGCAAGUCAGAUGUGAAAACCGUCGGCUUAACCGGCGGCAUGCAUCUGAAACUGCCGGGCUUGAGGGCAGGAGAGGGGAGUGGAAUUCCCGGUGUAGCGGUGAAAUGCGUAGAUAUCGAGAGGAACACCAGUGGCGAAGGCGGCUCCCUGGCCUGUUCCUGACGCUGAGGCGCGAAAGCGUGGGGAGCAAAC